CUGACUGUCUCCUCUCCGAGGGAGUAGUAGAUGGUCUGACUGUCUCCUCUCCGAGGGAGUAGUAGAUGGUCUGACUGUCUCCGAGGGAGUAGUAGAGGGUCUGACUGUCUCCGAGGGAGUAGUAGAGGGUCUGACUGUCUCCUCUCCGAGGGAGUAGUAGAGGGUCUGACUGUCUCCGAGGGAGUAGUAGAGGGUCUGACUGUCUCCUCUCCGAGGGAGUAGUAGAGGGUCUGACUGUCUCCUCUCCGAGGGAGUAGUAGAUGGUCUGACUGUCUCCUCUCCGAGGGAGAAGUAGAGGGUCUGACUGUCUCCUCUCCGAGGAGUAGUAGAUGGUCUGACUGUCUCCGAGGGAGUAGUAGAUGGUCUGACUGUCUCCGAGGGAGUAGUAGAGGGUCUGACUGUCUCCUCU